rnacentral:rRNA from 1 species
CAGUCGAACGGAGUCAUCAUUUCAGAAGCAAUUAGCUUGCUGAGAGUGGAAGAGAGGAUAACUUAGUGGCGGACGGGUGAGUAACGCGUGGGGAACCUGCCCUGCACCGGGGGAUAACACUUGGAAACAGGUGCUAAUACCGCAUAAGCGCACGAGGCCGCAUGGCCAGGUGUGAAAAACUAAGGUGGUGCAGGAUGGACCCGCGUCUGAUUAGCUUGUUGGUAGGGUAACGGCCUACCAAGGCGACGAUCAGUAGCCGGCCUGAGAGGGUGAACGGCCACAUUGGGACUGAGACACGGCCCAAACUCCUACGGGAGGCAGCAGUGGGGAAUAUUGGACAAUGGGGGAAACCCUGAUCCAGCGACGCCGCGUGAGUGAAGAAGUAUUUCGGUAUGUAAAGCUCUAUCAGCAGGGAAGAAAAUGACGGUACCUGACUAAGAAGCCCCGGCUAACUACGUGCCAGCAGCCGCGGUAAUACGUAGGGGGCAAGCGUUAUCCGGAUUUACUGGGUGUAAAGGGAGCGUAGACGGCAUAGCAAGUCUGAUGUGAAAGAUCGGGGCUCAACCCCGGGCCUGCAUUGGAAACUGUUAAGCUGGAGUACAGGAGAGGUAAGCGGAAUUCCUAGUGUAGCGGUGAAAUGCGUAGAUAUUAGGAGGAACACCAGUGGCGAAGGCGGCUUACUGGACGAUGACUGACGCUGAGGCUCGAAAGCGUGGGGAGCAAACAGGAUUAGAUACCCUGGUAGUCCACGC